GGGCCUGUAGUGUAGCUUGGAUAUCACUGAAGCCUCCGGAGCUUCGAACUGGGGUUCGAAUCCCCACAGGCCCGCCA
rnacentral:tRNA from 1 species